AUGUCCAAGGUUGCAGAGAAGGGAUCUCAGGAUCAGAUGCGCAGUUUUUGCAUUCAUCAAAUAUUUCUGUAAGUACAGUGUCCCAAGCUCCACGUGACUUGCAAAAGACAGUGCCAAAAAUGAACAAAAUACAGACAGAUCUGGCCUGAAGGAAUUCACGGUAGUGAGGAAGACGGAUACAAUUUUUGUAUGUAGUUUUACACAUAUAUACAUACAUCUCUGUUCCAGCAGAGAUAUGUGGAAAGUUCUGUGAGGACAUGGAAAUGCAAACAAUUAAUUCAUCCUGGGAGCAUCACAGAGGAGGAACUAAUCCAAGUGGGUCUCUCACUUAACGGGGAAGAAAAUGAGGAGCUGCCAGUCAGCCAUCAACCGUGAAAAAGCUCGGGAUAAUUUCACUUGAGAUCGGAGACCCCACCAGCUGAAAAUAAAACAAAUUAUUUCCAAAUCUGGUUUUGAAAUGAAGAGUGAAGAGCCUACAAUUUGAAAAUAAUCACAUCCACUGUAUCUUCAUCCUCCAGAUGAGGACUCUCUUACAUUUUAGUUAGUCAGUGUGUAAUGUUUCUUUUAUUUCUGUUCUCAAAGUCUUGACAUCACUAAAAAUAAAUGACUCAAUUCCA